rnacentral:lncRNA from 1 species
AUCAUUGCCAUAAAUAAAUGAUUAAACCAUUUAAUCAUUCUUACUCAUCUCCAUUGUUUCUUCAAUCUCCUCCUUAUACGGUGUACGAUCCAUUAGGUUCCUUUUAGCGAGGCAGUGGGCGAUUAAAACCAUUUUACAUCGACUGUGAAUUGAAACUUACUUUCAAUUCUCCCUUUAGUGAUUACACACGUUUAGGGCUUCCACAAACCAUGAGUGACACCUUGCAGCAUAUCAUGGUUACCCAAGCUAAUUAGAAGAGGUAGAGAAAACCUAUUCAGUUUGGGAUUACAAAUGCAAUACGGUCUUUCUCUAAUCUAAUACUCCUGAAUGUGUCUAUGAAAGAAUGGUCUCAUGAAUCUAACUUCAUUAGAUUACAUUCUCCCAAUCACAUAUUCCUUGGACUUUAUCGUUUAAGCAUAUAACAUUUAUAUGAGACAGCUCAAACAAUAAUCUAUGCCCUUUAUAUGUAAACUCGAUUAGUUUAACAUGUGAAAUGUCCGUAAAGUAUCAUCAUAUGAUUGGCUUUAGGGCACAUUUCCAACAAUCUCCCACUUGCACUAGAGCCAAUCAGCUUAGUCAUCAGUGAUGAUACCUCUUCUGUAGACAUUUCAUAAAUGGCUGAAUAGUAGGCCUAGGCAAUGGAUAUCUAUAUGUUAUCCAUAGAAGCAACCUUGAGAAUAACGACGUCACCAUUAUACAUGAUUCUCAAUCAUGUGGUUUGGUCUCUCAUAUGAGUUCGGAUCUUGAUGAGACCUUGAUUCCCUGGCUUGAGCUAUCGCCCCAUUAGUGUCAUACACUUUCUGGUUGGAACCGAAUAGAGAGUUCAUAAAUGAACUUUCCCAUCCAAACAACAUUGUUGUAAGCUUCUUUAUGGCAAUAUAUUUUGCAUUCAUAAUGGAACACACUAAAGUCAU